AGAGUUUGAUCAUGGCUCAGGAUGAACGCUAGCGGCAGGCUUAAUACAUGCAAGUCGAGGGGCAGCAGGGGUGUAGCAAUACACUCGCUGGCGACCGGCAAACGGGUGCGGAACACGUACGCAACUUACCCAAAACUGAUGAAUAGCCCUCCGAAAGGAGGAUUAAUACAUCGUAACAUAAUAGAAAGGCAUCUUUUUAUUAUUAUAGCUCCGGCGGUUUUGGAUGGGCGUGCGGCUGAUUAGGUAGUUGGCGGAGUAAUAGCCCACCAAGCCUGCGAUCAGUAACUGGUGUGAGAGCACGACCAGUCACACGGGCACUGAGACACGGGCCCGACUCCUACGGGAGGCAGCAGUAAGGAAUAUUGGUCAAUGGACGCAAGUCUGAACCAGCCAUGCCGCGUGGAGGAUGAAGGUCCUCUGGAUUGUAAACUUCUUUUAUUUGGGAAGAAAUCCUUAUAUUCUUAUGAGGUUGACGGUACCAGAUGAAUAAGCACCGGCUAACUCCGUGCCAGCAGCCGCGGUAAUACGGAGGGUGCAAGCGUUAUCCGGAUUCACUGGGUUUAAAGGGUGCGUAGGUGGGUCUGUAAGUCCGUGGUGAAAUCUCCGAGCUUAACUUGGAAACUGCCAUGGAUACUAUAGGUCUUGAAUACCGUGGAGGUGAGCGGAAUAUGUCAUGUAGCGGUGAAAUGCUUAGAUAUGACAUAGAACACCAAUUGCGAAGGCAGCUCACUACACGAAUAUUGACACUGAGGCACGAAAGCGUGGGGAUCAAACAGGAUUAGAUACCCUAGUAGUCC
rnacentral:rRNA from 1 species